GAAGACGCUGGGGGGAACCGGUCAUAACACACGAUCCAGUGGGAGACCCGUUUGUUCGAGAUGGAUCGCGAGCGACGUUCGGAAGCACAAACUGGUUUUCAUCAAGACCUGCAGCAUGAGAACCCUGGCUUUGCACCCACUAGUCGCCAGAUCGUUGGUUUUGCCUGUGUGGUAAUUAACGUUUCCCAGCCACUUAGGAUUGUGCAUUCUAAGUUUUGCUUCAGUGCUGAGAAUUACCUGUGAAACUCAGUCGCUCCAUGUCAAGAUAAGUAUUCUAAGUUUUACUUCAGCACCGAGGUUUACCUGUGUAACUCCGUCUCUCUGCACUAAGAAAAGUUUUGUCUGCCGCUUUCCUUUCUAUGCUCUGUGACAAGAUUUACUUCAGCACCGAGGUUUACCUGUGUAACUCCGUCUCUCCACACUAAGAAAAGUUUUGUCUGCCGCUUUCCUUUCUACGCUCCGUGACAAGAUAAGAUCUGCCUACCUCCUGCUUUCCUGCACUCUCUCAUGUUUGCCGUUCAACGCUCACGCCCACGUCUGCAUCCUAACUCAACCUCCAUGCCUGUGCCCUGCAUUUGGGUUCGCCUCGUUCGUUGCAACACAUUGUCAAUGGUGACUUUAUGCUGAAAGAACCCAGAUAAUUCACUCACGCCCUUUCUUAGGAAAGGAAACACUUUGACUUCCCUGGUGCGGCAGGAAGAUGACUCUGUGGACUAACUGGGACUCAACUAGCAGACCUGGAGUCUGGUAGAAGAUACAGAAACAUCUUAUCCAAGACAGUAAGACUGAAGAACAGUUCCUUCCCGAGGGUUGUU